rnacentral:piRNA from 1 species
UGAAAGGACUUGUUUCUUCCCUGGGAAUGU